CAGCCGCCGCGGUAAUACGUAGGUGGCAAGCGUUGUCCGGAAUUAUUGGGCGUAAAGGGCUCGCAGGCGGUUUCUUAAGUCUGAUGUGAAAGCCCCCGGCUCAACCGGGGAGGGUCAUUGGAAACUGGGAAACUUGAGUGCAGAAGAGGAGAGUGGAAUUCCACGUGUAGCGGUGAAAUGCGUAGAGAUGUGGAGGAACACCAGUAGCGAAGGCGACUCUCUGGUCUGUAACUGACGCUGAGGAGCGAAAGCGUGGGGAGCGAACAGGAUUAGAUACCCCAGUAGUCCCUGUCUCUUAUAC
rnacentral:rRNA from 1 species